rnacentral:rRNA from 1 species
GGGUUGUGAGGUUAAGCGACUAAGCGUACACGGUGGAUGCCCUGGCAGUCAGAGGCGAUGAAGGACGUGCUAAUCUGCGAAAAGCGUCGGUAAGGUGAUAUGAACCGUUACAGCCGGCGAUGUCCGAAUGGGGAAACCCAGUGUGAUUCGUCACACUAUCGUUAACUGAAUACAUAGGUUAACGAGGCGAACCGGGGGAACUGAAACAUCUAAGUACCCCGAGGAAAAGAAAUCAACCGAGAUUCCCCCAGUAGCGGCGAGCGAACGGGGAGCAGCCCAGAGUCUGAAUCAGCUUGUGUGUUAGUGGAACGGUCUGGAAAGUCCGACGGUACAGGGUGAUAGUCCCGUACACCAAAAUGCACAGGCUGUGAACUCGAAGAGUAGGGCGGGACACGUGGUAUCCUGUCUGAAUAUGGGGGGACCAUCCUCCAAGGCUAAAUACUCCUGACUGACCGAUAGUGAACCAGUACCGUGAGGGAAAGGCGAAAAGAACCCCGGCGAGGGGAGUGAAAAAGAACCUGAAACCGUGUACGUACAAGCAGUGGGAGCACCUUCGGGUGUGACUGCGUACCUUUUGUAUAAUGGGUCAGCGACUUAUAUUCUGUAGCAAGGUUAACCGUAUAGGGGAGCCGCAGGGAAACCGAGUCUUAACUGGGCGUUAAGUUGCAGGGUAUAGACCCGAAACCCGGUGAUCUAGCCAUGGGCAGGUUGAAGGUUGGGUAACACUAACUGGAGGACCGAACCGACUAAUGUUGAAAAAUUAGCGGAUGACUUGUGGCUGGGGGUGAAAGGCCAAUCAAACCGGGAGAUAGCUGGUUCUCCCCGAAAGCUAUUUAGGUAGCGCCUCGUGAAUUCAUCUUCGGGGGUAGAGCACUGUUUCGGCUAGGGGGUCAUCCCGACUUACCAACCCGAUGCAAACUACGAAUACCGAAGAAUGUUAUCACGGGAGACACACGGCGGGUGCUAACGUCCGUCGUGAAGAGGGAAACAACCCAGACCGCCAGCUAAGGUCCCAAAGUCAUGGUUAAGUGGGAAACGAUGUGGGAAGGCACAGACAGCCAGGAUGUUGGCUUAGAAGCAGCCAUCAUUUAAAGAAAGCGUAAUAGCUCACUGGUCGAGUCGGCCUGCGCGGAAGAUGUAACGGGGCUAAACCAUGCACCGAAGCUGCGGCAGCGACACUAUGUGUUGUUGGGUAGGGGAGCGUUCUGUAAGCCUGCGAAGGUGACCUGUGAGGGUUGCUGGAGGUAUCAGAAGUGCGAAUGCUGACAUAAGUAACGAUAAAGCGGGUGAAAAGCCCGCUCGCCGGAAGACCAAGGGUUCCUGUCCAACGUUAAUCGGGGCAGGGUGAGUCGACCCCUAAGGCGAGGCCGAAAGGCGUAGUCGAUGGGAAACAGGUUAAUAUUCCUGUACUUGGUGUUACUGCGAAGGGGGGACGGAGAAGGCUAUGUUAGCCGGGCGACGGUUGUCCCGGUUUAAGCAUGUAGGCUGGUUGUCCAGGCAAAUCCGGAUAAUCAAGGCUGAGGUGUGAUGACGAGGCACUACGGUGCUGAAGUAACAAAUGCCCUGCUUCCAGGAAAAGCCUCUAAGCAUCAGGUAACAUUAAAUCGUACCCCAAACCGACACAGGUGGUCAGGUAGAGAAUACCAAGGCGCUUGAGAGAACUCGGGUGAAGGAACUAGGCAAAAUGGUGCCGUAACUUCGGGAGAAGGCACGCUGGUGUGUAGGUGAAGUCCCUGCGGAUGGAGCUGAGACCAGUCGAAGAUACCAGCUGGCUGCAACUGUUUAUUAAAAACACAGCACUGUGCAAACACGAAAGUGGACGUAUACGGUGUGACGCCUGCCCGGUGCCGGAAGGUUAAUUGAUGGGGUUAUCCGUAAGGAGAAGCUCUUGAUCGAAGCCCCGGUAAACGGCGGCCGUAACUAUAACGGUCCUAAGGUAGCGAAAUUCCUUGUCGGGUAAGUUCCGACCUGCACGAAUGGCGUAAUGAUGGCCAGGCUGUCUCCACCCGAGACUCAGUGAAAUUGAACUCGCUGUGAAGAUGCAGUGUACCCGCGGCAAGACGGAAAGACCCCGUGAACCUUUACUAUAGCUUGACACUGAACAUUGAGCCUUGAUGUGUAGGAUAGGUGGGAGGCUUUGAAGCGUGGACGCCAGUCUGCGUGGAGCCAACCUUGAAAUACCACCCUUUAAUGUUUGAUGUUCUAACGUUGGCCCCUUACCGGGGUUGCGGACAGUGUCUGGUGGGUAGUUUGACUGGGGCGGUCUCCUCCCAAAGCGUAACGGAGGAGCACGAAGGUUAGCUAAUCCUGGUCGGACAUCAGGAGGUUAGUGCAAUGGCAUAAGCUAGCUUGACUGCGAGCGUGACGGCGCGAGCAGGUGCGAAAGCAGGUCAUAGUGAUCCGGUGGUUCUGAAUGGAAGGGCCAUCGCUCAACGGAUAAAAGGUACUCCGGGGAUAACAGGCUGAUACCGCCCAAGAGUUCAUAUCGACGGCGGUGUUUGGCACCUCGAUGUCGGCUCAUCACAUCCUGGGGCUGAAGUAGGUCCCAAGGGUAUGGCUGUUCGCCAUUUAAAGUGGUACGCGAGCUGGGUUUAGAACGUCGUGAGACAGUUCGGUCCCUAUCUGCCGUGGGCGCUGGAGAAUUGAGGGGGGCUGCUCCUAGUACGAGAGGACCGGAGUGGACGCAUCACUGGUGUUCGGGUUGUCAUGCCAAUGGCACUGCCCGGUAGCUAAAUGCGGAAGAGAUAAGUGCUGAAAGCAUCUAAGCACGAAACUUGCCCCGAGAUGAGUUCUCCCUGAGACUUUAAGUCUCCUGAAGGAACGUUGAAGACGACGACGUUGAUAGGCCGGGUGUGUAAGCGCAGCGAUGCGUUGAGCUAACCGGUACUAAUGAACCGUGAGGCUUAACCUUACAACGCCGAAG